rnacentral:rRNA from 1 species
CAGUAGCCGCGGUAAUACGAAGGGGGCUAGCGUUGUUCGGAAUUACUGGGCGUAAAGCGCACGUAGGCGGACAUUUAAGUCAGGGGUGAAAUCCCGGGGCUCAACCCCGGAACUGCCUUUGAUACUGGGUGUCUAGAGUAUGGAAGAGGUGAGUGGAAUUCCGAGUGUAGAGGUGAAAUUCGUAGAUAUUCGGAGGAACACCAGUGGCGAAGGCGGCUCACUGGUCCAUUACUGACGCUGAGGUGCGAAAGCGUGGGGAGCAAACAGGUUUAGAUACCCGAGUAGUCCCUGUCUCUUAUAC